rnacentral:rRNA from 1 species
AUUGAACGCUGGCGGCAGGCCUAACACAUGCAAGUCGAGCGGUAGAGAGAAGCUUGCUUCUCUUGAGAGCGGCGGACGGGUGAGUAAUGCCUAGGAAUCUGCCUGGUAGUGGGGGAUAACGUCCGGAAACGGACGCUAAUACCGCAUACGUCCUACGGGAGAAAGCAGGGGACCUUCGGGCCUUGCGCUAUCAGAUGAGCCUAGGUCGGAUUAGCUAGUUGGUGGGGUAAUGGCUCACCAAGGCGACGAUCCGUAACUGGUCUGAGAGGAUGAUCAGUCACACUGGAACUGAGACACGGUCCAGACUCCUACGGGAGGCAGCAGUGGGGAAUAUUGAACAAUGGGCGAAAGCCUGAUCCAGCCAUGCCGCGUGUGUGAAGAAGGUCUUCGGAUUGUAAAGCACUUUAAGUUGGGAGGAAGGGCAGUAAAUUAAUACUUUGCUGUUUUGACGUUGCCGACAGAAUAAGC